CCAUCGCCAGUUCGGCGCCGUACGACGACUUCCGACGUCGUUACGAGGAGGCUGUCCCGCCGUUCGACGCGGCCGCGUUCGGC
rnacentral:tRNA from 1 species